AGACUGAUAUAUGUAAAUGCCAGCCUAUGAGCUUCCUGGUAGGGACACCAGCUGUGAAGGCCUCAUAACAGCCAACUUCUUGCAACUCUCAAGCUGACGGCCUCACAAAUGGGAGGAAGGACUCCUCCACUGGAGAACUGAUAGCAGUAUUCUGGUAGAGGAGGCAUCAAGAGUCCUGGGAGGCCGGUGGUAAUCAUGUAGGCGCCAUGGAAACUGCCAUGUGCGUUUGCUGUCCAUGUUGUACAUGGCAGAGAUGUUGUCCUCAGUUAUGCUCCUGUCUGUGCUGCAAGUUCAUCUUCACCUCAGAGCGGAACUGCACCUGCUUCCCCUGCCCUUACAAAGAUGAGCGGAACUGCCAGUUCUGCCACUGCACCUGUUCUGAGAGCCCCAACUGCCAUUGGUGUUGCUGCUCUUGGGCCAAUGAUCCCAACUGUAAGUGCUGCUGCACAGCCAGCAGCAAUCUCAAGUGCUACUACUAUGAGAGCCGCUGCUGCCGCAAUACUAUCAUCACUUUCCACAAGGGCCGCCUCAGGAGCAUCCAUACCUCCUCCAAGACUGCCCUGCGCAUUGGGAGCAGCGAUACCCAGGUGGAUGAAGUGAAGUCAAUACCAGCCAACAGUCACCUGGUGAACCACCUCAAUUGCCCCAUGUGCAGCCGGCUGCGCCUGCACUCAUUCAUGCUGCCCUGCAACCACAGCCUGUGCGAGAAGUGCCUUCGGCAGCUGCAGAAGCACGCCGAGGUCACCGAGAACUUCUUCAUCCUCAUCUGCCCAGUGUGUGACCGCUCGCACUGCAUGCCCUACAGCAACAAGAUGCAGCUGCCCGAGAACUACCUGCGCGGGCGUCUCACCAAGCGCUACAUGCAGCAGCACGGCUACCUCAAGUGGCGCUUUGACCGCUCCUCCGGGCCCAUCCUCUGCCAGGUCUGCCGCAACAGGCGCAUCGCUUACAAGCGCUGCAUCACUUGCCGCCUCAACCUGUGCAACGACUGCCUCAAGGCCUUCCACUCGGAUGUGGCCAUGCAAGACCACGUCUUUGUGGACACCAGCGCCGAGGAACAGGACGAGAAGAUCUGCAUCCACCACCCAUCCAGCCGCAUCAUCGAGUACUGCCGCAAUGACAACGAAUUGCUCUGCACCUUCUGCAAGUUCUCUUUCCACAAUGGCCACGACACCAUUAGCCUCAUCGACGCCUGCUCCGAGAGGGCCGCCUCACUCUUCAGCGCCAUCGCCAAGUUCAAAGCAGUCCGAUAUGAAAUUGAUAAUGACCUAAUGGAAUUCAACAUCUUAAAAAACAGCUUUAAAGCUGACAAGGAGGCAAAGCGAAAAGAGAUCAGAAAUGGCUUCCUCAAGUUGCGCAGCAUUCUUCAGGAGAAAGAGAAGAUCAUCAUGGAGCAGAUAGAGAAUCUAGAAGUGUCCAGGCAGAAGGAAAUUGAAAAAUAUGUGCAUGUUACAACCAUGAAAGUGAACGAGAUGGAUGGUCUGAUCGCCUACUCCAAGGAAGCCCUGAAGGAGACUGGCCAGGUGGCAUUCCUGCAGUCAGCCAAGAUCCUGGUGGACCAGAUCGAGGACGGCAUCCAGACCACCUACAGGCCUGACCCACAGCUCCGGCUACACUCAAUAAACUGCAUGCCCUUGGACUUUGUUGAGCUUUCCAGUGCCAUCCAUGAGCUCUUCCCCACAGGGCCCAAGAAGGUACGCUCCUCAGGGGACUCGCUGCCCUCCCCCUACCCCGUGCACUCAGAAACAAUGAUUGCCAGGAAGGUCACUUUCAGCACCCACAGCCUCGGCAACCAGCAGAUAUACCAGCGAAGCUCCUCCAUGUUGUCCUUCAGCAACACUGACAAGAAGGCCAAGGUGGGUCUGGAGGCCUGUGGGACAGCCCAGUCAGCCACCCCUGCCAAACCCACAGACGGCCUCUACACCUACUGGAGCGCUGGAGCAGACAGCCAGUCUAUACAGAACAGCAGCAGCUUCCACAACUGGUACUCAUUCAACGAUGGCUCUGUGAAGACCCCAGGCCCAAUUGUUAUCUACCAGACUCUGGUGUACCCAAGAGCUGCCAAGGUUUACUGGACAUGUCCAACAGAAGACGUGGACUCUUUUGAGAUGGAAUUCUAUGAAGUCAUCACUUCUCCUCCUAACAACGUACAAAUGGAGCUCUGUGGACAAAUUCGGGACAUAAUGCAGCAAAAUCUGGAGCUCCACAACCUGACCCCCAACACAGAAUACGUGUUUAAAGUUAGAGCCAUCAAUGAUAAUGGUCCUGGGCAAUGGAGUGAUAUCUGCAAGACAUAAGAAUGGGCAUGUGAUCCAGGAUCAGCCAAUCAGAGAGCUGCUUUCCCUUGGAAAACAAGAUUGGCCAUAUGAUCCAAAUACGAUUUUUGGCCUGCAUGCUGGCCUCAUCACCAACCAUGGCAGGAGAAGCCAACAGCCAAAGCAAGCCCAGUCCCCUGCCACUUCCAAGCACUCAUCCUUCUCCAAAUGGCUCUCAACCCAUCUCUUACCAGCUAUUAAACAUCUCUCAGCCCUUUGAAUAUGAAGCAGUAUGUUUCACUUUGCUCUUCAACAUCCAUAAAUAUCUACUGAGUGCUUUUUGUGUGCAGGAACACAACAAACUCAAGAAGUGAAGUUUGUCCUCAAGGGAAUUACCACCUUAAUCAGGAGUCAAGAAACAACAGGUGUGAGCAACUUGGGAAGAAUUGGGUCUUAAUUUAUCCUGGAUAAUCUGCUUUAAUACCUAAAACUUGUAUUAGAGAACAGAGCCUAACUGAAUGUGGUUUUGCUAUGACUACCUGAAGAAAAUGUACAGGACACUCUUAAAAUAAAAUAAUUAAGCAUA